rnacentral:lncRNA from 1 species
AGAUACCCCCAUCCCCACCAGAACUCCAACUCCCCCUUAACGGUCAUAUUUUCCCCUACAAGCCUCCAACGGUCGUAUUUUCCUGCAAUCUUCACGCCUUGUUUCUCAUCAUUCAUCAAAUUGAUAUUCUCAAAACCCUACUUGUCAUUUCAUCUUUCUAAUUCUCGGGGACAAAAUCAUCAUCAAACUCUGUUUAUAUUAUAUAAAAGCUCAGUUUUUUAUGGUAUAUGGCUUUUCGGGUAGUAGGGUUCUUGAGAAGUGACUCUCAUAGUAUGUGAUUUUCCUUUUCGUGCUUGAUUGAAGGGAUUUUGAAAGAUAAGAAUAUUGGGCUUUGGGUGGG